rnacentral:rRNA from 1 species
GACGAACGCUGGCGGCGUGCUUAACACAUGCAAGUCGAACGGAAAGGCCUUUUCCGUGGUCCUCGAGUGGCGCACGGGUGCGUAACACGUGGGUGAUCUGCCCUGCACUCUGGGAUAAGCCUGGGUAACUGGGUCCAAUACCGGAUAGGACCGCACUUUAGUGUGUGUGGUGGAAAGUUUUUUCGGUGUAGGUUUAGUCGGGGGGCUAUCGGCUUGCUGGUGGGGUAAUGGCCUACCAAGGCGCCGACGGGUAGCCGGACAGUGGGGUUGAGAGGCGACAUUGGGACUGAGGGGCGGCACAGGCACCGACGGGAGGGAGAUGGGGGGAAUAUUGCACGAGGGGCGCAAGGCUGAUGCAGCGACGCCGCGUGGGGGAAGACGGCCUUCGGGUUGUAGACCCCUUUCGCCAGGGACGAAGCGUUUUGUGACGGUACCUGGAGAAGAAGCAACGGCUAACUACGUG